rnacentral:sRNA from 1 species
UGUGUUUGCUGCACUAAUUCUUGCUACCCCCAUUUUAAAGAGUCUAAACUGAGAGCUGGAGGGAUUGAGUCCCAUGAGGGCACAGCCACACAACCAAUCAAGCUUGAUUCACAAAGAGGACCUCAAACAGAUUUGCUUAUUGACCCAUGAAGACAAUGAGAAUGCUGCCCAGACUUCCAACUAUAGACUUACAGAUAUGGCUGUUGCUGACCUGAGUUAAAUGUGAGCUCCUCCAGUAAUGACUAAGGACUGUUGCAAAGACUGCUACAGCUUCUCCAUUAAGACGUCUAGUGGGAAGAUGACACACUGAAGCAACUGACCCUCCAGUCUGAAAGAGGAGACCUCUGAGGUCACCUUCAUGUGCUUCACCACAAGCUUAUCAGCAAAUCUCAGGGCCACCUCAAGUAUCUUUCUUGACCAUGGAAAUGCAACAUGUGUGUCUGGAGU